UAAUAAUUGAUAAUCACUGCUUUUUAAAAAUUCCUUUUAUCCUUCAGAUAAGUGAUUAUUUAUAUAAUUAGUAUCAGAGAUAAUACUAAUAAUAAAGAUGCAAAUUCCAAAUAAGCCAGCUCUGACCAGUGUGUAGAGAAAGUAAAUUGUGGUCAAGAGUACAAAGUAGACAAAAAUGGAAAGAAGGAUGUAAAACCAUCAAAUACUGCUCAGUCCUGUAAAGUUAAUGGCCCUUCAUAAUCACUCAGAAGAUAAAGAGUGUCAGAAGAGUGAAAUCAGUCAAUCAAGUUGGGUUAUAAAAACUACCUUUCUUUGCUUCUAAGGAAUAAGACAACAUGGCCUUUUAAAACUGGAAAUGGUCACAGGGUUAAAUUCCAUAGUUAAGGGAAAUUAGAAGUUUUUUUUUUUAAUGUGGAUUUAAGUUCAAAUGGCUAUUCACUUAUUUUUUAUCUUUUAUUUUUCAAUUUAAAAAGAAAAGUGUCAAAAUAGAUAACACUUUACAUAUUUAAUAAGUUUUUAUGUUUCUCUGUCAAAUCAUAUUUAUAAUAAACAUUUAAAAAAGAACAAACUCAUUUUCUUCAGUUCAAUCAUUUGUAAGACAUUAAAAAAUAUUUUUUUUAAUGUUUAUAGAUCCAAAAUAUCUGAAGAUGAAAAAAAA